AUUAAGAUCGCAACUGACUCAACGUUUAACCGUCCAUCUUAUUUAAAAAAAUAAUUAGUAGUUUUAUUGUUAUAUAAAAUGAUAAAACAUAAAUAGUAAUUUAUGUGUGACUAAUUUAUUUUAAUUUUUUUUCAUGAAAUUUUCAAAUAAAAUAAGUGAUUAAAUGUUGGGCACGAAAAUCCACCACACACUUAAA
rnacentral:pre_miRNA from 1 species